rnacentral:snRNA from 13 species
AUACUUACCUUGUUCCAGUCCCCCGAGCUCGAGAAUUCGGGGUACUAGUAGGGGAGGCCUGCAUUGCACAUCGCGGAGUCUCCCGUGCUCAAUUGUCCUUCGGGGCCAUUGGGGGCGCAAUUUUUGAUAUGACAUCUCUUUCAUUGUGUC